GGCAAUUUCUUUCAUAUUCUAAUUAGAUCUUUUCUCAAAAAGUGUGAAAGUAUUUUAACAUUGAGGCCUCUUUUCUAAAGCACAUUAUUCAAAAGGAUGCUACUCUUGUCCUGAUAAAAGUAAAAGGACACUAACAGGUAGUAGCAAUUACUGAGGGUUCACUAUGUUCCAUGCUAUGUUUGUCUACACAUUUUCUGUAUUAAUCCUCCCAACAACCCUAGAAAGUAGGUACAGUCAGCCCUCCAUAUCUGCAGGUUUCACAUCCGCAGAUUCAACUAACCAAGGGUUAAAAAUAUUCAGAAAAAAAAAUGAUACAAAUUUACAAAUAUAUAGUAUAACAACUAUUUACAUAGCAUUUAUAUUGUAUUGGGUAUUAUAAGCAAUCUAAAGAUGAUUUAAAGUAUACAGGAGGAUUGUGUAGGUUAUAUGCUAAUAUUAUGCCAUUUUAUAUAAGGUACUUUAGCAACCUUGGAAUUAGCAGGGGGUCCUGAAUCCAAUCCCCCAUAGCUACAGCUGUAUUAUUAUUAAUUCCAUUUUGUAAUUAAGGAAACUGAGGCAAGAGUCAUAAAUAACUUGUAAAAAUAACACAGUAAGUGGUAGAGCCAGGAUUUGAUACAAAAAUCAGUCUGACUCUACCUACCAACAAUAUCUAGGUCUUUAUAUGAUCUAAAGGCAGUAACAACAAGUAAAUUAAUGGUAAUUAUAAAUGACCUGUCUUAUAGGGCUGUUGAAGAAUAUAUAUAAAGCACAAAGCAGAGAAUCUAAAGGUAGUUUUAAUUAUCAUAAAUCUCUCAUCAACAUGGGAAGAAAACCUGAUGACCUCACAAAACAUGCCAUUCCAUUUUCCAAUAAUAUUCAUUAUUAGAAAUGCAUUCAUAUCAAUCUUGACUAAACUUUACACCUUUUGGUGCUGGUUUUGCUUUCUGGAACUUCUUAUGUGUUUUUCUAACUUACUUUCUUUCAAACUCUCCUAGUAAUAAACUGCUUGCUACACAUUCUCUUUAUAAAACUGAAUACCUACCUCUUAUUCAACCUUUUCUCUUACAACAUGGUCAUUCUUCUGGGCAAGUCCCUAUAGCCCUGAAAACUGAGGCUCAAAUCUGAAGACAGUAUUUCAUGGGCUGCCUGACCAUCAGGGAAUAGGUUGUUCCUAAUAAAUACUUUCAUCUUUUUUGACAUCUACCCUUUUGUUACUAUCACCUAAGACUGGAUAAACACUUUUGACAGGCCUGACAACUCACUGACUCAUUUAGAGCUUGCAGUAAACUUUUUUCACAUAUACUUACCUGAACUCAAGCAGUGGAAAGUGUUUAAUUCAAAUAUAGGAAUGUAUAAGUUAUCUCAACUAAAUUUCCUUUUACUAAAUGGGCCCAUUAAUAACAUCUUUUGAAGGUCUAGAUCCCAUCAUCCAAUGAAGUAGUUGGCCCUGUCAACUUCAAAUCAUUUGAAAUUUGGUAAGCAUGUAUCUACCUUCUAAAAUAUCAACAGAAUAGAGUUCACUGGAUACUGUUAGAGAUUUUAUUUCACGUUGGCACAAUCUACUAACUCAUCUUAUUCCAAAAACAUAGUCCAAAAAGAGACAAAUAAAAUUAUCUUUGUUCCCCCAACUGUCCUGGUGAAAUCAAAGUACUCACAGGUCCUAAGGAGAUCAAUCCCGCUAUUGUGGUUUCCGGGAUCAACAAAUUUCUCCAUGAACUGCUCAGUUAGUGUGAAACUCACACAUUUUGUGACCACAUCAAAUGACUCUGGAACAAGAACAAUUGCCUGUUGUUUUAAUUAUAAACAUUUAACAAAAAUCUCUUUCAGUAAUUAUUCUCUGAAGUAAAACAGUAAAGGAUGUUUCCAGAGGGGUCAGCAACUUCUCUGGCCCUGACUGACACACAGGUUUCAUAGAUGUCCAAUGGAUGCCACUGGUUCUCAGUGGCAGGCUGAAGACAUAGGCACAAGGAAGAAAAAUAAAGUGGAAGCAGUAAAAUGAAUGGCAGAAUAGCUAUGUAGAAAGCCUAGGAAGAAGGGGAGGGAACAAAGACUGAAAUAAAUAGGAAUGUUGAUCUUCUCAUGCAACCGUGCUUUAUCAACCAUAUUCCCAUCUCAGGGAAUGCCAAAUCCACACUUCCAGUUCCUCAGACCAGAAACUUUAGAGUAAUUCUUGUACAUUUACACUCCAUCAGGAAAUCCCAGGAAUUCUUCCUUCAAACUAUGUCCAGAAUCCAGCUGCUGCUCAGUGCUACCAUUCUGGUGUGAGUCAUAAUCAUCACUUAACCUGAAUUACUUCUAUAACCUCCUAACCAUAGUCUUCUAGUUUCCACCUUUGUCUGCUGCCUCUGUUCUCACAACAGCCAGGGUGACCAGAUCAGGGCUCAGCACUGUAUCUGGAGUCAACACCAAAGUUCUCAUUCUGCCUAGAGUCCUCCAGGAUUUGCCCCAGUCCCACUCCCAAAGUAGGUCUUUAACAGCAUACCCAACUUCCCGUCUCUCCCUCCAUUCCAGCCCAGUGGCUUCCUUACUGGUCCUUGAAUAUUUCAGGCAUGCUCCCGCCAUAGAGCCUUUGCAGUAGAUGUCCUUUCCAACCUAAAUGACUUCCUCCCCAUUUACCCAUAUGGCCAACUCUUUUGUCUAGUCUUUAACUACAUUCUUUACUCAAGUGGUGUCUUCUCAAUGAGACCUACUUUAAGUAUCCUAUUGAAAAUCAUAACCUAUGGCCACCAAUAUUCCUUUUCCCACAUAUUUCCAAAUCCCUUUUGUGUUCUAUUUUGCCAUAGCACAUGUCAUCUUUUAACAUACUGAAUAAUUAUUUAUUCUGUUUAUACUGUUAUAUUCUGUUCACUGCCUGUCAUCCUUUAUUAGAAUGCUAGCUCCCCAGGAGUAAGGAUUUUGUUCUUUCCUGAUGUUCUCCCAGCUAAGAGGCCCUGGAACAUGGAGACAUGCAAUAAAUUAUUUGUUUAAUGAAUGACUAAAUGGUAACACUCCAAUUCCAACUCCAAUUUCAAUAUCAAGUGCUCCUGUAACCUCAUAAGUCAAACUGAACAUUUUACAAUGAAUUUUAACCAACUUUCUCUCCUUUCCUUCCAAAUUAUCUUUUUUUCCAGAUACAGUGACAUAUUAUCAUCCUUUUGAUAUAUCAUAACUCAAGCCUGUUCUGCUAUGAUUUGAAUACAAUGCUUCCCCACUAAGGGGCCAACAGAAGUAGUCAUAAAUAAACUGUAAAGUUGUUCCUUACAAAGAGUUCUAAAGCUACCAUUUUAAUAACUGGAAAUCAAAAUCUUUAAGUGUUAAAUAAGAAUGCCUGUAAAAUAAACCUAAAAAUCUAGUUUUUGGUUUUUUUUUUUUAACUUCUGUAAUACAAAUUUCUUAACCUACCAACUCUGCAUCAAGAUUGUUGUAAAACAGUCUCAUAAUUACACAGAUUAAAUGUAGAGCUGGUCAAAUUAUAUCCUCUAAGACACAGGGGCAAAUGAUAGAUAUGUAUUAUAAUACAGCUAACCCAUAAAAGGACAAUUUUUUGAGUUGAUUUUCGAUGGUAGUCCUUUUACUAGUUACCAAAUAUUUUUAAAAGUCUUUCGAUG
rnacentral:lncRNA from 1 species